ACCCGCUGAACUUAAGCAUAUCAAUAAGCGGAGGAAAAGAAACUAACAAGGAUUCCCCUAGUAACUGCGAGUGAAGCGGGAAAAGCUCAAAUUUAAAAUCUGGCGGUCUCCGGCCGUCCGAGUUGUAAUCUAGAGAAGUGUUAUCCGCGCUGGACCGUUUACAAGUCUCCUGGAACGGAGCGUCAUAGAGGGUGAGAAUCCCGUCUUUGAAACGGACUGCCAGGGCUUUGUGAUGCGCUCUCAAAGAGUCGAGUUGUUUGGGAAUGCAGCUCUAAAUGGGUGGUAAAUUCCAUCUAAAGCUAAAUAUUGGCGAGAGACCGAUAGCGAACAAGUACCGUGAGGGAAAGAUGAAAAGAACUUUGGAAAGAGAGUUAAAAAGUACGUGAAAUUGUUGAAAGGGAAACGCUUGAAGUCAGUCGCGUUGUCCGGGGAUCAGCCUUGCUUCUGCUUGGUGUACUUUCCGGUUGACGGGUCAGCAUCAAUUUUGACCGAUGGAUAAAGGUUAGGGGAAUGUGGCAUCUUCGGAUGUGUUAUAGCCCUUGGUCGCAUACAUCGGUUGGGAUUGAGGAACUCAGCACGCCGCAAGGCCGGGUCUUUGACCACGUACGUGCUUAGGAUGCUGGCAUAAUGGCUUUAAUCGACCCGUCUUGAAACACGG
rnacentral:rRNA from 1 species